rnacentral:lncRNA from 1 species
CCUCCCCCUCAGGUAGACACACAACACCAUCAGUUCUCUCCCAUCCUCACUCCAAACUGCAUGACUUGGACACAUCAACUCUGCCUGGCUGCUCUGAAUUCGACUAUUCAUCUUAACGGACCUGAGCUGGGAUGCCUGAGUCUCCUCUCAGUCCCACGGCAACCCGUCAAACUCCAGCCAGCAGCCUGCUCUGUCACACAGACAACGGUGCAGGAGAGAGAGUAGCUAAUGGGGACUCCUGCAGCGGUGUGAGUGGUGAAAACUGGCAGAGUCUCCACCAGAAACAGACUUCUCUUUUGUCAUUUUGUCCCUCGUCUUCUUCUUGAAGCUUUUUCUGGCUAUGAUGGCUCCUCAGCACAUGCAUCACCUUCUGUCCCCGAACCAGCUGCAGGCACUGAUCCACCAGAAGCAACAAGCUCUCAUUCUCCAGCAGCAACAUCUGAAAGAGGUUUACAAGAAGCAACAACAGCAGAUUCACCUGCAGCUGCUUCAGCAGCAGCCCAGCAAGAAAGUCAAAGAGGUAAGUAAUUAUUUGUGGCCUGUUUGUUCAUUUAAGUUUG